UACGGAGGGUGCAAGCGUUGUUCGGAAUUCUUGGGCGUAAGGCGCGCGUAGGCGGCUCUUUAAGUCUCGCUGUGCAAGCCUGCGGCUCAACCGCAGGAGGCCAGGGGAUACUGGAGGGCUGGAGACAGGUAGAGGCGAGCGGAAUUCCGGGUGUAGCGGUGGAAUGCGUAGAGAUCCGGAAGAACACCAGAGGCGAAGGCGGCUCGCUGGACCUGGUCUGACGCUGAGGCGCGAAAGCGUGGGGAGCGAACAGG
rnacentral:misc_RNA from 1 species